GCGUGAACAACCUGGUCUAGUGGAAGGUUUCCCUGUCCAUGGCAAGAGGUGGGAAUAAGAUGGUUUUUAAAGUUCCUUCCAACUCAAUUCAUUCCAUGACUCAAUGAUUUCAUAGGUGAGAUAGGGGAGGUAGCAGCACUGCCUUCUACACAGGUGUGAAAGAAAUUUCAUAUCUUUAGGUUUUAUGGUAGAUAUAACAUUGUUCAUUCAGACCUUGAAAACAAAUUAGGUGUGCCCUAGAAAGGUCAGUAAAUGUCAUUUUUGUCUUCACCCUGGUGCAGCAAGGGUUAAUGUAUUUCCAAACACAUCUUUUAGUGGGAAAAUACCAUUGCUGUCCCCAUUUAAUCAUGUGAUAAAUGCAGCCAUCAAAGUGGGUUGAGAAGAAUACAAUUUCCGUCCUUUCAAUAAUUCAUCUCCACAGGGGGUUUAAAUGUAUUAAAUAACCCUGCAUUCACUUUGGAGCAAGGUGACACGCUCAGUUAAGGUUUCACAUUUGUUACUCCACCUGCUGCACGUGAUUUUUGCCAGGACAAAAGUCAAUUUAAGACUCUUGCAGUGCAACUUGGGGAAGGUGGGGUUGAAGGAAGGGAGGUGGAUGGGAUUGUGUGAGCAGCGCCCCCACAGCAGCAGAAAGUAUUUCCACUGGGCAGAAACACUCACUAUAUAAUUAGGCUUUUGAAAAAAAAAAUAAAAAAUAAAAGUUCUAUACAGAGAAGUCAAGCCCACAAAGUGAACAAAAUCCAAGCUUUAAAUUCAGUUUUUAAUAAUUAUAGUACUGCCAUUGAGGCCACACACGUCCUGCAGACCCAGCCUACAUUUCAUCAGCUCUGGGAUCCUGGCCUGUGUUUGCUCUCCUCUUCAGCUGCUGUCACACAGAUCUGACAGGGCUGCCAGAGGUGACCCUCACUGCCCAGAAAAGCUGCGUGCAAGGACAAAGCUCUCUGAGCAAGAUGAUAAAUCAUGAUAGAGUUGAUCACAUCAUUUGGGAGAUUUACUGGACUUGAGAAGUCAAUCAGCCACCACAUCCCCUCUCCUUGGCCUGACUGUCAGAAACCAGCUUAUUUUCAUGUUUUCCAAAACAUGAACACAAAUGUCACUGCCUUCAUGGCUGGAGCUUGCUCCAGCAAGAUUUCAAGCUAUGUUUUAAAAAUAAAAUCUGUUCUCAGAAGGAAGAACACAGCCUGAUUUCCCCAUGGAAGAGUGGAAGUUAAUUAAAGGGGUGUCUCCGAUGAAUAAAAUUUCCUUCUCAAAAGAGUUCUCCAGACAAGAAUAAGUCAACACUCCAUCUGUGGAGCUGCCAGGUAUCUAACAUACAAACGUAGCAAAAUAUCCACCUGUCCACAGCUCUGCUCUGAAAACAAACCCUGGAAGGGUAAAAAACAGGAAGGGCACCUCUUAGGAGGAGCAGCAUCUCUUGCUGAGCAUUUCUGCAUGCACGAGCACCGCAAAGACAAUGCACUAAAUAAUCCAGGAGAUGCCAAAGUGCUGCCUGCGAGCUCCCCACGGCUGCUGUUUCCUCUGCUGGAGGAGCACGGUCCAGCGAAUCCCUGAUCCCCAGCUGCUGCUCACAGUUUGUUCUUUGGACGAUCAUCUCUCUAAUUUAUUUAUCCAGCUUUAAAAGGAGCGCUGCAGAGAGGAGGAUGCGGUGGUGGCUGCUCCCCUCGCCCGCAGGGACACCAGGAAGGAGCUGAACUUCUGCCUCUGCUGCUUCCUUGAGACACUUGAUGAACGACCAAGAAAAAUAACCAGACCCCAAGUGCAACAGCAAACACCAGCCAGGGAAGGAGCUCUCUCUGCCUCACCAUGCCUGUACUUACAAUG